rfam:Triticum aestivum genome assembly, contig: Triticum_aestivum_CS42_TGACv1_scaffold_289075_4AL
UUGCUACUCCCUCCGUUGGGAAUUACUUGUCUCGGAAAUGGAUGUAUCUAGAACUAAAAUACGUCUAGAUACAUCCAUUUCUACGACAAGUAAUUCCGAACGGAGGGAGUAGUUG